UGGUUGCCUUAAAGUGGUACUAUGACGAAAACUGAACGUUAAAAAAUCAUCGAUUUUAGCAUUCAAUAGUUUAAACACAUAUCAAUUAUUGCUUUCGUAAAAUUUAAGCAAAAAUAAUAGUAUAACGAGGGAGUUAUGAACAUUUGAAAUGUCUAAUUUUCAUGUCCGCCAUUAAAAUCGGCCAUUUUGAAUAUUUGCAAUCAGCAAAGGUCUGUGACGUCAUAGUCUUAACACAGCAAGAAGCGCACAUUGGAAAGUAUACAAAGUAAUACAUAAAUAGAGCAAAAAAAUGUCAAAUUCAUCGAGAUCUAGCUCGCUUUCUGAGUCUUCGAUUGAGACAAACGCAUCGAUUUCUUCAUCGGAAUUCAUGACGGCAAAUUCGGACGAAUCUAAUUCGGAAAUUUUGCCAUUUGCCGAUAGUAUUGAACCGCUUGCUUCGCCCGAUGAAAUUGCUGAGUACGAAGCUGCAGUCGCAGAAGAACGGCGGGUUGAAGACAUGCUGCAAGAUCGUUUUGAUGCCCGUGUUGAUGUUACUUCAUGGUGUGAAUGUGGCCAUUGUUCGUUGGAUCUUGUUGUCAACCCUCAAGAGUGCCGAUGCUGCAUGGAAAUAGAGCAAUGCCGUGG